UACCAGCACCCCGAGUGGUCGGGACGUUUAUUGGGCGUAAAGCGCGUGUAGGCGGCUUUGCAAGUCGGAUGUGAAAGCCCUCGGCUCAACCGAGGAAGUGCGUUCGAAACUGCAGAGCUUGAGUGCCGGAGAGGGUGGCGGAAUUCCCCAAGUAGAGGUGAAAUUCGUAGAUAUGGGGAGGAACACCGGUGGCGAAGGCGGCCACCUGGACGGUCACUGACGCUGAGACGCGAAAGCGUGGGUAGCAAACAGG
rnacentral:rRNA from 1 species